UUCCCCCCAGGCCCUGUCAGCAACCUCUCGUCUGUCUCUAGGAGGUCCGAGUUCUGCAGGAAAUGCAGCUGCUCCAAGUGGCUGCCAUGAAUUACAGACUUCAGCCUUUGGAUAAAUUUGUCACCUAUUUCCCAAGAAUGGAGCAGCUCAGUGACAAGGAGAGCUACAAGCUGUCCUGCCAGCUGGAGCCCGAAUUCCAGUAGGCUGGCAACAUCCUGCAGUGGCUGGGACCCCACCAGGAUGCUGCCCAGAACACCGGCUCUGCACCAUCCUUCACCCAGACCGUGACACCAGGGAACCACAUCUAGGUGGCUGGCAGCUCAGCUGCAUCUGGCCCCUGCUCCUCAACACAAGCUGCUCCUGCUGGCCCGGAUCAGGCCAUGGGACUUUUGCGAGUCAGGGGGAGAUCAUUUUAUGGUUAUUUUCUUUAGUGUAUACGUAAGGGUUUUUUUCUUAACUUUCAUUAAAAUAAAAUUUUAAAA